rnacentral:rRNA from 1 species
AGUGAACGCUGGCGGUAGGCCUAACACAUGCAAGUCGAACGGCAGCACAGUAAGAGCUUGCUCUUACGGGUGGCGAGUGGCGGACGGGUGAGGAAUACAUCGGAAUCUACUUUUUCGUGGGGGCUAACGUAGGGAAACUUACGCUAAUACCGCAUACGACCUACGGGUGAAAGCAGGGGAUCUUCGGCCCUUGCGCGAUUGAAUGAGCCGAUGUCGGAUUAGCUAGUUGGCGGGGUAAAGGCCCACCAAGGCGACGAUCCGUAGCUGGUCUGAGAGGAUGAUCAGCCACACUGGAACUGAGACACGGUCCAGACUCCUACGGGAGGCAGCAGUGGGGAAUAUUGGACAAUGGGCGCAAGCCUGAUCCAGCCAUACCGCGUGGGUGAAGAAGGCCUUCGGGUUGUAAAGCCCUUUUGUUGGGAAAGAAAAGCAGCAGGUUAAUACCCCGCUGUUCUGACGGUACCCAAAGAAUAAGCACCGGCUAACUUCGUG